GUGUUCAGGUCUCCAUUAGUGAUGAUGGGAAGUGUGUUCAGGUCUCCAUUAGUGAUGCUAGGUGCUGCAGUAGUGAUGCUAGGUGCUGUGUUCAGGUCUCCAUUAGUGAUGCUAGGUGCUGUGUUCAGGUCUCCAUUAGUGAUGCUAGGUGCUGUGUUCAGGUCUCCAUUAGUGAUGCUAGGUGCUGUGUUCAGGUCUCCAUUAGUGAUGCUAGGUGCUGCAGUAGUGAUGCUAGGUGCUGUGUUCAGGUCUCCAUUAGUGAUGCUAGGUGCUGUGUUCAGGUCUCCAUUAGUGAUGCUAGGUGCUGUGUUCAGGUCUCCAUUAGUGAUGCUAGGUGCUGUGUUCAGGUCUCCAUUAGUGAUGCUAGGUGCUGUGUUCAGGUCUGCAGUAGUGAUGCUAGGUGCUGCAGUAGUGAUGAUGGGAAGUGUGUUUAGGUCUAUACCAGGUCUAUAUUUGGCUGGUUUGAGGGGAGCUGCGUGGUGCUUCCCUCUCCCGCUCUGUGCUAGGACCAUGCUGGCUCCUGCCCGCCUGGCAGCACCUCCUCUCUCCUCCUGCCCGCCUG
ensembl:lncRNA